GUGGGGAAUAUUGCACAAUGGGCGAAAGCCUGAUGCAGCAACGCCGCGUGAGCGAUGAAGGCCUUCGGGUCGUAAAGCUCUGUCCUCAAGGAAGAUAAUGACGGUACUUGAGGAGGAAGCCCCGGCUAACUACGUGCCAGCAGCCGCGGUAAUACGUAGGGGGCUAGCGUUAUCCGGAAUUACUGGGCGUAAAGGGUGCGUAGGUGGUUUCUUAAGUCAGAGGUGAAAGGCUACGGCUCAACCGUAGUAAGCCUUUGAAACUGGGAAACUUGAGUGCAGGAGAGGAGAGUGGAAUUCCUAGUGUAGCGGUGAAAUGCGUAGAUAUUAGGAGGAACACCAGUUGCGAAGGCGGCUCUCUGGACUGUAACUGACACUGAGGCACGAAAGCGUGGGGAGCAAACAGGAUUAGAAACCCCAGUAGUCC
rnacentral:rRNA from 2 species